rnacentral:lncRNA from 1 species
ACCAGAAACCUAUGAGUUACAAAAUUGCCUCCAAUUGCAAUAAUAAUACAUAGAAUAGUCUCGUAUAAGCAGUUCUCCAACCUAUUAAUUAAAAAUAUUUAUAAAAAAAAAAAAACUAAGCUUGGUGAUUGUAGUUCACCUUCUCAGCAGCUUCUGUGACUCUGAGUGGGGGAGUCUCAACAUCUUCAACGUCCAGUUCAGAAAUAGGAGCAAACUGUCCUUCGUAGUACCUGAGGAGAAAUAAACCCUUAACACCCAUUUUUUCAAAUAUAAAAACAUAAAUGUGAAGCAUCAACUUUUAGAACCAAAGAGAUUCAGUGCAAUUUUCAUGUCAAAACACUUUUAUCUCAAUAAUGAAGUACUUAUGAGUUACAUUGAUACAAGAGCAAUGCAUCCCACAUAUCACACACAUUCCUUAUAUCUGGAUCCCCAACAAUAGCAAUCCAAUGUCACCCACAUAGCACAUGAUACAUACCAGAGGUGUCCCUAGAAUGUCCACAUCAGCCAUUCCUUAUAUCUGUGUCCCCAAAAACAUUUGCAGUAAAAAGUACAUGGACUUAUGAGCACAAAGGGAUAACGGACAUGUAUGGGUUGACUUGAGAGAUAAACCAAGUAAAGUAAGUUCAAGAAAAAAUCUAGGACCAAAUAGGAUACAAGGUCAGAAUCAGUGUGACCCAUCUAAAAAGUUAGGACCCCACAUUAAUUUGUGCAGUCAACAACGAGGAUCCAUCUUUGGAUUAUUAUCCUAAAACGCUCUAUCUUUGGAUUAUAUCCUAAAGUGCUGCUGGUUAAGCUUGUUUCUGGUUUUUCUCUGUUGGAAAUUUCAAUUACUAACGAAAUAUCCAAUCUUCAUUUAAACAUACAGAUUUAAACUCAACUGUUGGCACUGCAGACUCUUGGCCAUUGUUGGGAUUGAAAUAAGCUAGAGUUUCUCAAGAUAAAUGCGGAUGAGGUGGGUUUUAUUUGAGAUAGCGAAUUCCAUGUGUUUGUGGAUUUAUUGCCAAAGCAAUUUGGGAAGAUCCCUGCUGUUUCCUCCAGAUGGAUGGGGUUAUAAUUUCAUUGUAACUUUUCUGAAGUAAGUUUUAGUUGGACUCCUUUUCUUUGCAAUGGACAACUUCUCCUCCUUUCCUUUAGAAAAUGCUUUGCUUUGCUGAAUUUUUCGUAACUCUUAGAAAUGUAACCCAAACUAAGAUGAAAACCCCCAACAUGACCGUAUUUUAAUAUGCUAUCACUUCUAAUCCUCUAUAUCUUUCCACUUGUUUCUCCAACUACCAUCAUAUGACUCGAGAGUUGUAUUGUGAGAAAGUCAUCUGUAUAUCAAAACUGAAAUCAAAUGAUCAUCUCUUCAGCACCCACAUGGUCUAUGUUCUAUAGCUUUCAACCCAAGUGAACUGAAAGCAUGAGACUCACAUUUUGAGUUGCGACUUUAUGUGCCUGAGCCAGGGUGCAUAUGCAUGAUUGCUUUUCAUUCAUUUUAGAAAUCAUUUGAAGCAUUGCUUCAGACAUAUAAUCUUCAAUCUUUUCACCUUUUUUUUUAUGACAAACAGUAGCGUUAGUGGGUUAAAAGUUUAUUUGUUAGGGGGAGGGGAAUCGAUGGGCAUCAAACCCGCACCAGGGUGCAUAUGCAUGAUUGCUUUUCAUUCAAAGUGUAGCAAUAUGGGGCUAAAAGAAUCACUCAGUCAAUCUUUCUCAACACCUUAGGCAUCCACAUACACAUUGGGAUCAUGUAUGUGAUCUACAAAAACGUUUAGGUGGGGAAUAACUCAAAGAGGAGCAUACCUUGUCAAUAGUUCCACUGCUUGUGAUCCAUAUCCAAUCUACAACAACGAAAAAUAAAUUACCAUUUCAACAGAUCCCUGGUUAUAGAUUACCAUUUCAACAAAAUCCUGGUUAUACAUAUUGCUUUGGAAACCAUAAUGAGAGAAUACCUUCAUGGCACUUGGAUGUGUAGCAAUUCGUACAAUCCGAGCACCUGAAAGACUGGGAAAAACUGUGUCCUGAAAUUGCUCACAGAAUUUCCAUGGUAUCUGGUCACCAGAAGGCUGAUGACCAUCACUUAAACUUUUCAUUGCAGAUUCACGAGAGAUCUUUCCCUCAAGGCAGACCUAAGAACAAAAUGAUAGCACAUAAAAUGUUGAGCAUCAAAGAAUUAGUGUUUUAUAGAAGAUGAAGUACGUGUUUAAAGUGUUGUCCUUUAUUGCUAUUUCACAUAAGGUAAAAUUAUAAAUAAAAAAACUAAUAAAAUUUUGGGUAUGCGUUAAAUAACUAAAAGAAAUAAUAGUCCUGAACUAGGGGAAGACAGUCAAACCUGAAUGACACACAAAAUAUCAGGAAGCUGAUUUUUUGACUCAUCAACAGGGCCUGCACGUGCAAAUUAUAAUCAAGUCCAGCCAAAUAGCGGCAAAAAAAGAAAGACCAGUUCUAACGUAACAUAUAUACCAAGUAGCACAAACAGGUGGUGAGCCGGGGCAUCAGCCAUUAGUUGCAAAUCAUUUGGAGAAUUUUUGUAGUGGGAGGCAACAUAUAGAGCCAUCAUCCGCUGCAAGUAUUAGAAUAUGUAAGUUCACUAAUAUGAAAAUGAGAAUCACUAGUCUGACAUUACUUGAACAUGUAAUUACCUGUAAGAACAACUCGCUAUCUUUAUGAUAUGAAAAAAGCGUAUCACAGUUUACGUAGUACAGAUCGCACUCACUGGGUGCAGGUAACCUAGCCGCCAAGAGAGAGAGAAGAGAGAGAGAGAUCAUUAAUAAAGGUAAGGGUUAUAAUGGAGAUGGUUACAUCUUCCUCGGUUCUGACUGUCUAAGCAAAUGUUUUUACCCGUUAAGUUUAGGGAUAUAAUUUGUGAUAUCCAAGCAAAGUAAACCAUGAAGCCAGGAUUCAAUCGGAUCACCAGAAGCAUAUCUGAUAGAUUCUUUCAAUUCUAUCUUUUUGAAAAGACGACCUACAAUCAGGGACAUUUAUCAAUUCAGAAAAUUAUGUCCAAAUAUCACAAAAUAGUUUUUAAAAAAUUAUACAUUGCUCACUUGCAAGCGCCAACAGUUCAAGUAUUUCAGAAACAAUAAUGUUAAGAGAAAGCAGAAGAAACAUUGAAUUUUGAAAAUAAAUUCAAGUUUUGGGGGGAAAGGGGGAUUUUGAUCCAACCUAAUUCAAGAUGAGAAUACAAAACACGGCCAAUAAGGAAUAAGCAUACCAGAUGUAGGCCCCUUAGCAGACACUUGGCUUUGCUCUUCCAAUUGCUGUAGAAGUUUUAGGGACAAAGACCGACCAGUACCUUCAUAGCUUUCAGUGUAAAAUAAAUGUCCUUUAGUAUUUAAAUUGCACUUAGAUUUUUUUUUUUUUACCAAAAGUUGAAUUCAGAGUUGACUUAUAAAUAGAAAGACAUCAAGCAUGAGUCAAGGAAAAGUGGAAACAGCCCAUGAAAAGUGAAAGAUCUUUCAUUCCCCCCCGCGGCCGUAACAGAAAGUGAAAAAGUGAAGUGAAAUAUGUUUCAUGAGACUGUUAAAACCAAAAAAGAACACAUGAUAAGAAUACACGACAUGAAGGAAGAAGAACAUGGAUGAAUCUUACCCAUUAACAGUAGAUGAAAGGAAGACCAGAUAAGGACCAAGCAAAGACUUCACUACUGGUAGUGGAAUAGCAGCUGCUUCAUCAACAACCAACAGUUCAACUUGGGAAAGCUUUUCAUGCUCAUGUGGCCGUAUAUACUGCAAGUACAAGUAACAAAAGUAAAAAACAAAUAGCCCCAAAAGCAAUGAGCAGUACAAAGUUCUUUCUUUUAGGCUACAUGAGGUGUAAAGGUCUAGACCACCUCACAAUCUCACAGGCAUGUUGAGUGCCUCUAUACCAUACAUACUGGAUUAGUGCCAGGAAGACACAUUAGGUUGACCAAAAAGUUUGGCGUUUCAGGAACAUGCUUUUAGAAGCAAGCUUCAGUAAUCACAAACCAUCUAAAUUAUGUUCAAUAUGCUCACACCAAUAACAAAAAUGAUGCACUUGGGCAAAAGUACAAUAGAAUUUUUGGAGUAGUCAAACAAAGACAACCACUAAUCAUAUAUGAGGGCAUACGACAUUUGAUGGGCAAAAGGUGAACACACUCAUGGCUAUUGUGAUGCGGCUAUCCAAUAGAAGAAUAUUCUCUAUUACAACUUGGUUAUCAACUUUUCAUGAGUAACAAUUCCUCCAUGUAUUUGUAUUUUGGUAUCAACUGACUAAACAAAAUCUUUAUUGCUAUUUUUUUAUAGAAAACGAGAUUUUAUUAAACAGCUAAAAAACAAUACAACACUUAGUGGACUAGGAAGUCCACCAUCAAAACGAAACAGCCCUGACAUAUGCCUCAACAUUCACCUCCAUCAUUAUAAAACAGAUCUGCAACUAUCUCACUGCAACUCCCCAAUCCAACAAAAUUACAUAAAAUGAAAGAUCCCAAAACCUUGGAGAGAGAGAAGCCAUAAGAAUGCCCAAUUCUUUCCCAAGAAUUCUCUUGUAAAUCCCCACUCUAAUUUUCAAAGGUUGCAAACUUGAAAUUAACAUAGAAGGUAACUGGCUUCAGAGUCAACUAGGAUAAUACUGGGCAUAUAUGCAGAGAGUAGGCAUAGUAGCAACUUUCAGGGUAUGGAAUAAUACAAAAGGAAAGGGAAGACCACAGAAUUCUCUCAGUCAUCUUAACUUGAUUUGGUACUAAGAAUAAGUUAUGUAUACACUUCCCACUGGCCCAUCUGUACGUUAAUAUAGAAAUAGAUUAUAUCCUGGCAACAAGGAAGUGAAAUACUCCUAUUUUUAUAUCAAUAUUGGGCACAAAUUAAGAGUUCAUCAAUAUAAUUUUACCUCAAUUGUAACCAACUGUGCAUAUAAGUUUACCUGAAUUGUUUGUCUGUGCUGCUUGUAUAUAUUGAUCUGUACAGUUGCUUUCUUCAACAAAGGGUCACUACUUUUCUGUACAUCAUAAUCUAUAUGUUCCUGCAAACAUAGUUUACAACUGUAAGCUCAAUAACUAGUGCACUGUUCGAAGUACAUGAUUGAAAAAUGAAGAAAACGGAGUGACCUUAUAACAAUUAAUGAAAGAUAAAAUGUAGUUCACAGAAUAAAACAUUCAAACACCACCAUCUUGAUAGUUAAACAAUUUCACUGUAAAAGCUAUUAAACUUAGCAGGAAAAAAAAUUUAAACUUUAUCUAACAUUUGAAUCUACAAUUUUCAAUUAGCAACUCUUGUCACAAAUGUUUAUUAGUGGGGUACGUUCUAAGAUAUUGUUAUUUGCUAAUUGUCGAGGAUUAUUUGGGAGUUAAAUCUCACAAGAAGGCGUAAAGAUCACAUUAGAAUUAGAUAUUUUACUAGGAAGCUAAAGAUCACAUUAGAACCACCCGCAGGAAUACAAAAAAACGACAUACCUUAUAGUCCAGUUGAUCAAAACCCUUGCAAACAAAUUCGAACAAGGUUCUUAAGUUCUCAGGGCUGGGUGCAGUUACAAAUAUAUUUGAAUACCUGUGAAGAUAUAUUUGUAUCGUCAAAACAUAGUACAUGAAUAUGAGUGUAGACAGCUACACAUACACCAAAACAGUUUUAAUACAUUGUAAAAGGCAUACUACCCUGCAGCAAUAGCUCCGGAAAUUGCCAAACCAAGUGCAGCCGAUUUUCCACGGCCUCGAGCAGCAAGCAAGGCAACAGUACUUCGGAGUGUCUUGUCCAAGAUUGCAUCAAGAAAUGUAGCAACAGCAUUUCCCUGUUGAAACAUUUACCAACUCAAACUAUGAGUCAUAUUAGUAAAUCACACAUGAUAGAAAAACUCAAAACUAAUACAAAUCAGAGAGAGUGCCUACCUGGUCCAACGUACAACAUUUCUUUAUUAAAGGGCCAACAGGAAAGGCAUCACUCAGCUGCUCUUUUAGAUCCUUCAGUUCCCUUUGUGACUCUGAUAUCCCUUCAGAGUCCUUCAAUCAUGAUCAGAAAACAAGAAAAAAGUUAUCAAAGUUAUCAAAGCUUCACAAACUCCUAGAAAGUAUCCUAAUAACCAUUCGGUAUACACACACUUGAAAAAUUACUUUUAUUCUUUUUGUCAUCUCGCAUAAGAUGCCACGAAAAUAAAGCAUUCCUCGAUUUAUCAGUUCCGUCCUAUAGAAAAGUUACAAGGCUAAAAGGUUACCUCUUUCACUGGAACUGGGGUAAUUGACCUCAUAUGAGAUGAAAUUGGUAAAAUAUUCAGCUCAUCAUCCAUUACUACACAUGAUUUGCAUGACGCAAGUGACAAUAAGAAACGCUCGUUAAAACGUCCAGUAGCCUUAGAAUGGGAUUCAGUUCGAAACCUAUCAUGAACAUCCUGAAAUCAAGAGGCGCUGAUAAGACUGUAUGGAGAUUUUUGCAUUUGAGAGAACGAGAAAGACAGUGUUGCAAAUAAAACAUGACAUAACGGAAUUGUUAUCAAAUAUAAUAUGUGGUGCAUGGCUAUUGCUAUAUUCGUUCUAAGUCCAUAAUGUAGUAAAACUAGAAACUACCUCAACAAGAAGAACAAAUAUUAUGAGGAAACCUAGUUGUUUUUUCUUCUUCUUUUUGGGGCUAGAACAUGAAAAGAAACAACUAGUCUACAUAGGCCCAACUGGGAAACUUAUAUGUUCAGCAGCAUUCUCUUAAAGAAAGUCAAGCAAUUGAAUCUACCAAAAGUCUUCUUGUAGCCAAGCACAUCAUUACGAAAAAAUUCGGAAACUUUUAACAUGGCUAGUUUUCAAGAUUUUGCGGUAUAUAAUAAGCAUAACCAUGCUGGCCUAAAAACUAAGCAUUAAUUGUGUGCAUGCGUAAGAGAAAGAGGUAUUAUUAUAUGCAUACCAUAACCAUGGUGUAGAGGUUGGUGAGUGAGGUUAGAGAAUGAAGCAACAAUAUGACUAGUCCACCUCCCUCCACUGUCUCUAUCGUUCUUGCUAGUAGAUUUGGAGUCAAGGCCUCAAAAUCCUAAUGCAGGAGAUCAAACUUAGUCAUAAAACUUAAAUCAAUUAUACAAGGGGUCUUGGCCAAACCAGUAAAUUUGUAAGUUUCAAGUUACCUGAAGUAUACACAUUCCAAAGGUAUUACCAAGAACUCUUUCUGAAUCCUUGUACAAGCAAUAAGUCAAUCCCCCACUUUCAACAAAAAGUGAGAAAGGAUCAACCUUCUCGGGAUCAAGCAGCCCCCUCUGCAUCAUCUUUUUUACUUGCUUAGCACGUUUUUUCUUGUGACUGCAUCAUGAAGUAGUCAAACGCAACGAAUCAAUAUAUUUUAAAAACGAAAUUCCGCCUUGCCUUAUAAUAAGGUGAAGAAUGGAAGGUAGAAGAAAUCAACCUGCUGAGCUCGAGCUUGUCCUUGUAGCACCACAACACAGUCGGGCGCGAUUUCUUUACUUCAUUGCUUAGCAUAUAAUGAAGAUUCACAAUCUGAAGACCAUAUAAAACUCCAUAUUAGCCAUUUUCCGUUAGUUUUCGAUAGAUUUUCGAUGAUAUUUCUUACCUUGUUUGAGGUUUUUAGUGUUACUCGGUGAGUAUUGCAGGUGAAAACAAGAAACAGUAAAACUGGUAAAAUUUUCUACCCAAUUCAAUUUAAAUCAUUGUUAUAACUCCUCAAAUUGAAUAGGAAUAGCAAAUAGGGAAUGGGAUAGGAAAGGCAGAAGAAAUUAGGAGUACCUGGUCACGGGAUUUGUCGCCGACGAUGACGAACAUGGAGCGGUGCCGGUUUUUGACGCCAUUGCUUAUUAGGGUUCGGAUUCGUUCGUCCACCUUCUUCCUCAUUCUCUCUCUCUCUUCUCUCUCUGUGCAAUUAGGUUUAGGGUUUAUACCAUAGGGCAGUUGUCGUCGUCGGGCAGGGUUUAAGCCGAACUAGUGAGAGAGAGACUAGACAUCGCGGAGAGAUAUUGAGUUCAUCUCAACCGUUGAUUGGCUAUCUGAUGGCUGUUAUCAAAGCUGACAUAAAAAUGAAAACUCAACACGUGGCCAAGUAUUUUUUUUCUCUCUUUUUUGGCUUAUUUAUUGAUUUGCCCCAGAAAUUAUUUUUUUUGUCUUACUCUAGGUCAUGAAACAGAAUUUAUCUUACUUUAUCUUCUAAAACUACCAAAAUCGAGUCAUUUCACCCAUGUUUUGUCAAUUCUAUCUCAUAAACGUUAAAUAAAAGGGAGUCUAAACAUUUCAUACCAUGCUAGCAAAGAUGAGCCACUGUUGUUGGUGAGGUACGAAAUUUUCAAACUUUCCUAAACCUUUAAAACUUAAAAGGUAUCUUGAAUAUGAACGUAAAUGAGGUAAAGUUGCUCAAUUUUGGCAAUUUAUGAAGGGUAAAAUGAGACAAAUUCAAUUUAAGGCUAAAGUGAGAGUAAAUGGCAGUUUCAUGAGAUAUAUCAAUAAAUAAAUCUUUUCUAGAAUACAACUAAAUUAUGUACUCACGGUAAAAGAUAAAUUAAUAUCGAACUUGUCAUUGACGAUAUCUAAACAUAAAACCUUUCAAGUUUUUACCUAUAAGAAUAAAUUUGGUAUAGUAAUUUCUUUUCUAAUUUAAAGUUUCCCAUAGAGUUAUGACGAAUUUGAUACCAAAUUAGGCUGUCAUUGUGUGGCAUAGCCGAAUUCCUCCUCCCUUACUUUAAAAAUAACGAUGUACUCAAAAAAAGUUUCCCAUAGAGUUAAAAUGAUCUUUAGUUGCUUGCUGAGACAACCCAUAUGUAUAAUAAGACAUUGAAAAAGGUGCCUCUGUCAUUUACACUCACACGAUCGAAUAAGUAGCUCCGACAGUUGCAUCAUAAAAUUAAGGGGUUUUCCGAGAUUGUAGUAAGGUUGACGAUUAAAGUUUGGGAAAUUUUCAGGUUAAGGAAUCAAGGGAUCACAUUUUCAAGUUUCGUAGGCAUUCUCUUUCCUUUGGAAUGGUGUUGGAAUCCGUCCUGAAGUUGCCCAUUCCUUUGCUCUUGAUUUUCAGAGUUGGAUAGCUAUAAACCUUAGGACACAUUGUACCACCAUACAUGGUUUACCUUGGAACCUUAUCUUUAAUUCAACUCUCUGGCAUUGCUGGAAAUGGAGGAAUAACUUUGUCUUCAAUGAUGGCCAACAACCGCUUGACUCACCCCAGAAUUUCAUUUUUCAAUUUGCAAGGGAAUGGUGUGAUGCGAACAAGUGUUCUUCUAGUAAGCCUCCUAGACAAAAUCAUCUCAAUCCAUUGGAUUCGUUUGCCAAUUGGUAUACAAAAUCAAUACAGAUGGGAGUUGUAAAGACCCAUUUAGCCACAUAAGUGCUGGAGGUUUGCUUCGUAAUUCUGAAGGGAAAUGGAUUAAGGGAUUUGCUGCUAAUUUGGGCAGAGGAACCAUCAUGGAAGGUGAGCUUUAAGGGUGGUUUCAUGGGACUUUCUAUAGGUUGGGAUGAGAGUUGCAAGGAAGUGAUUAUUGAAUGUGAUUCUUAUGCUGCUGUUACUUUGAUCCAACAACCUAUUUUAGUUCCCACUCUACAAUCUCAUUAUUGACUGCAAAGAAGCCAUUGAAAGAAAUUGAAGAUGUGAAGUUACUCAUAUCUAUAGAGAAAAUAAUGUCUUAGCUAAUCACACGUCUGACUUAGGUCAUGGGUUAUCACUUGGUCUUCAUGUUUUUGCUUCUCCUUCUACCAUUGCUACUAAUUUUAUAGUUUCUAAUACUAUUGGCAGGGCCCUCCCUAGAGCUGUUUUUUAGUAGCUUUUUUGUUUUGCUUGUUGGGCUUUGCCCUCUUCUGUACCCAAAAAAAAAAAAAAAAAAAAAAAUAUUGGGAAAUUUAUUUGGACCCAACUUUUUUAUCUCUACACCCAAAUAAUAUUUUCUCUUAUCUAAUCUUCCAAAUUUGUCCUUAAAUAACAAACAUUGAAGUUUUCUUUGUAUCUCUACACCCAAACCCCACGAUCCACCACUGUAGGGCGCUCCAUUAUUUCCGACAAACCCAACUCAAACGCCAGCAACACUAAAAUCGACAAAUCAAGACUGGAGAACAAAUGGUGUAGGAGUCCUAAUGUGAAUAUUAAAGCAAACUUAAGUUGCAAAACCCUUUUUUAUUUCAAUCGAUGAAAGGACCUUGGGUUAUGAACAUAAGGAACCUAUUAGGGUUUAGAGGUCCCCUCCACAUCAUAUGCAUAAGCCCUUUUUCUUCAUUCAUUAAUUUACGGAAGGGAAAAUUAAUACUAUUAUUCUCAUAAAAAGUGGGAAUACCAAGGAAAGAGAUCCUCUCCACACCAUAUAUUUUUCUUUUCUGAGUAGUUAUAUCCAAUGGAGAGAGGAAAACAAGAGCACCAAUGGUCGCAGGUUCACCGGAGAAAAUGAAGGUGCAGUGGUGAUGUGAGUUUAGGGUUAUUGGGUGUAAAGAUAACAACUUUAAUAUUUAUUUUCUCAUUUUUAUUUAUUUAAGGGCAAAUUUGAAAGUUUAGUAGAGAAAAUUUGUUAGUUGGGUGUAGAGAUAAAAAGGUUGGGUCCAACAAAAUUUCUCAUAAAGUUUAAUCACGCGAUUAAGUUCUUGUGCAAUGAGUAAAUUGUAGCAAUGACCCAUCAACUAAAAAUCCAUUAUUAUUGAUCCCUCAACUCAUCAAAAUAUGUAGUUAUGGUCAUUUUCGUCAACUUUGUAAGAAUUUUGUCAAAAUAAAUUAUGUUGGAAGGACCAUUGUUACAAUUAAGGUCCUUCAACUCAUCAAAACAUGUAGCUAUGGUCAUUUUCGUCAACUUUGUCAAAAUGAGUUAUGUUGGCAUGACCAUUAUUGCAAUUGGGUUAAAGUUGAGGAAUCAUUGCUCCAAUUGGGUUAAAGUUGAGGGAUCAUUUCUCUAGUUAGAUUAAAGUUGGGGGACCAAUGAUAAUUAAGUUUUAGUUAAGGGAUCAUAGUUGCACGUUUUGAUGAGUUGAGAGAUCAAUGAUAAUGAAUUUUUAGUUAAUGGAUCAUUACUCCAAUUGAGUUAAAAAUAAAGGACCAUUGCUACAAUUUACUCUUGUGCAAUAGAAGAUUAAUUUGGCCGAACAACCUGAUUAAGGUGCCUACUUUCUCUUUAAUUCAUUGGUAUCAUUUAUUUUCCCUUAAGCUGAAUUAUGCUCAAUUUAUGUAUCAAUAUUGUAAAGUUGUCUUUGUUAGAGUAAUUUGGACAAUAUAAAUUGAAAAUUAUUUGUGUAUAUGGAAAAGAUUAACCUCAGGGGUCACUUCGCCGGACUCCGUAGCAAUCUCCACCACUCCAAUCGUAAUGGUGAGUAAAUCACUUGUGUUUGUUUCCAUUUUUUCAAUUGGAAAUUGGGGGUUUUGAAUUCAUAUUUUGUCAAUUGGUUUUGUGAGCACUGAGAAUACACUACGAGCUUGUGUGUGUGUACAAUAUGUUGGAUUUGAUCUUUAUAAAGAAUGCGAGAAAUUGGGGUUAGGAAAGAGAAGAAAAGGAAACAGAACUCGAACUUCGAUCUUCAUUCUUGUUACUAAAGGAGAAAACCGAAUUUGAACCGGUUCAUACGUAAUCGAACCGAAUUUGUAUAGUUCGGUUCACCCCUUAGUACCGAACCGUACCAUACCAAAAAAAAUUUCUUGAGUUUGGUUUUGAUACAUCCCUCAUACUGUACCAUACCAAAUCGUGGCCAGACCUACUGAAUACAAAACUUAUAUCUGGGUCGUAAGUCGUAAGGCCUCCAAAAAAAAAGUUCAUAUUAUUCAUACCAAUCGGACAAAUCCCGCACCCAAAAACAAUGGCUAGAUAGAAAGUUCAAUUAUAGAUUAGGUAAUCUAUCCUUUUCAACUUAAAUGCACAUUCAUGAUGGUUAUGCAAAUCAUAUUAUGUUAACAAAUGCAACAAUUAAUUAUAUUUAUCCAUUUGGAAUGAUAUAUAUUUUCAAAGAUGGAAUUACAGACCCCGUUGACGUUGAGGCCAUUGCAUGAGAGAAUUUUAGAUGAUUUUCAAUUAAUUUAUAUUAUUGUUGUGAUAACCAUAAUAAUUAUUUUCUAAAUGUAAAACUAUAUUAAUGAAAUUUUCUUUGUCGGUCAAAAGAAGAUGAAAAGAUAUCUUUAUCUUCUAUCACAACAAAAAAAUUAAGGAUAUUAAUGUAAUAGGCUAAUAGCGAUGGGGUGAAGAAAUGGAACUAUCCUAAAUAGGCAGUUGCUGGUUAUAUUGGAUCAGGUGGUCUGAAUGAUUGGAUAAUUAGCAAAUAAAAAGGUUCCAUUUUUCAUGGACCCUCAAGUGGAAAUAUGGGAUAAAAGAUGGCAUAUACCAUUUUAUCCAUUUGUGAUUGUACAUUUUGAUGGUUGUGAUUUCACCCGAUGGCGCGGCAAGUGUGGAUUGGGAUAAGGAUGGUUUUGGUCUAUCAUCAAAGAUGGUUUGAUGUUCACGACUGGAUUUUACAACGCAUCCAAGUGCAUGGGUUCUAUAAAUACAGAGUUGCGCACAAUAAAAAAGUACAAAGGACCUUCAAACCUUUCACACACUCUGAGAAACUCCUGAUUCUCCCAACUUCGUCAACACAUCUUCAAUUUGGAUUAACAUCACUGUUUGUCAGUGAGGAGUCCUUAGUCUUCUCGUCUCAUUAGCCCUCUAGGUGAAGUGAGGUGUUACUGAAUUACUUGAGUAUUCAGCACAUUGAAAGUCGAACCUUAUUUGAACUUCACAGUAGUUAGCAAUCUUAUCUUCAGGUUUUAGAACCCAAUGCCAAGACAUAUUCCUUCCUCGACAGUGAUGGUUUGUACACAAAAGUUGGUUUGUACACAUAAGUCAGUAUUGUGUUUGACACACCAUCCCAUUCAUUCUACUAGCCCACAAACGCGUGGACUCGUCCAAAAUUACCCCACUCUCGGCCCGUUCACUUGCCCACUCGUCCCACGCGGCCCGUGAGUCUUCAGUGCCUGAUAGGGGGGCCUACUGUUAGGGCCGUUGUUGGCCACAACCCAGAGCCCAACGAUUUUUUUUUGCAUCCCACGACUGGCAUUUUUGGACCGUUGGUUGAUCCAACGGUCCAGAUUCAAAUUUUGUUUUUUUAAAUGUUAUUUUAAAAUACAUUGAAUCCAACGGCUGAGAUCGAAUAUAAUCAAAUCUAACGGUAAAAUAAAAAAAGAUAAAAAAAGAUAUAACAGUCCAAAUUUAAAUCCAACAGCUAAAAUAAUUUUAAAAAAAAUUAUUUAACUCAAAAUUCACCCAAAAACUCUAUAAAUACCUUUGUAUUUGUUCAAACAUCCACACAAAACUCAAUUUUCUCCCACAAUUCUUCCAUUUUUUCUUUCUACCAUUUCUUUCCAUUUCCAAAUUGUUCAACACGAUCCUUGAAUUGGCCAUCCCAAGCAGUAAGACAAUUCUUCCACUCCCAAAGCAUACAAUCGAGACUUCCUAUCAUGUCAGGAAAGCCUAUUUUGUCUGCUUUGAGUAGAAUGUGACGACAUGUCCCGAAUUAUUAUAUAUUUUUCUCCCUAAGUGUGUAAAGUGACGGUAAUGCCCUCGUGAUUUAGUGACGUGGAUGUACAUAUGUAGUUUUAAAUUAUUAUUUCUAUUGUCGUAGUUAAAUUGUACUCGACGCCAUGAGUGUGUUGAUGUGACCUAGGGCUAAAACAAAUUCGUAACGAAGAAGUUACGAACAGACGAGUGUGUAAAUGCGUAGAAAUAUAUUUUUAUGGGUUGGCUAUACCUUACCCACCAAUCACCUUAAUUCCUGAUUUCUUUGGCCUAAUUGAAUUAAAAAUAUCUCUCAUUUUUCCUUCUGCCCAAUCACGCACAUACACACCAUCACUCUCUCUCUUCUCUCGGACCUUCUUCUUCUUUCUUCUCAUUCCGUACACCCGAGCCACCCUUACCUCACAAUCAUCAUCAAAACAUUAUGGAUCGAAUUGGAAAUCACUACCAUCGCAGUCACCUCGAUCCCACGAACUCAUUGAUACCCUUAGGUCGAGGAAUAGACGUCGGGAAUUCGAGAACUCGGGAGCUCUGGCGAGGUGUAUUUUUCUACUUUGUGAUCGUGGUCUUUUUCUAUGGUUUAAAGGCUUGAGGUGGGUCCUAAUCAACUUUAUAGGGACCCUAGAUUAGUUUUGGAGCAGUUUGAACGUUGGAAUAGGUGAGAACAUGGAGUUGCAGGUUGGCCGGUUGAUCCAAGCCUUACUCCGACCACUUUCUGUCGGUUUUAGAACCUCAAGUAGGUAAGAUUGUAUUCUUCUAGUUGAGAGUUUCAAAUCCAUAUAAAAUUCAUGGAAUUUGGUUGAAAAAUGAUGAAGAUAUUAAAGUUUUAAGAUUUUUCCAAAAAUCAGCGACACAAACGGCGCCCGACGGCCAGCGAUGGAUUCCGACAAAGCCAUCGGAGAAGGAGGAGAAUAUUAUGUCUAACUUUGACAGAAUAUACUAACAGCGUCAGGUAACUCUAUUAGUUUUUAAACAAAAUAUUCUACUAUUUAAUGAAAUAUUCCCUAACGCCGUUAGGGAUUCCGUGCCUGCACGUGCCGGCUUAUGAGGGCGCGUGAGACGUCAGGAAAUUAAUCUAAAAAUAUUGGGGUGUUCGAGUUGUUGAGUAGGUCAUGUUGGUAUAUUCAAACACCCUAUUUGAGCAACGUAUGAGAAGUUAUUCCUAGGGUUUGUGUAUGUGCCUUAAAAUUAAUGUAAAAUUAGUUAUUUCGCAUAUAGGUGAGACUUACCCGGAGGACAAACGUGGUCAAACGAGACUUGGGGGCUACGAUCCUACUACUUACCAGUGAGCGGGCUUUUUUUUUCUAUAUAUAUGUAAAUAUGCUUAUGAAUCCCAUAAACUACUUUAAAUGAACGUAUGUUUUAAAUGCCAUGUCGUGUGCAUUAUGUGUUAGUAUUGCAUUAGUAUAGCUAUGCAUAGUAUUGGAUGAGACUGCGCAGACUCAGGUAAGUUUCAGGUGAGUACAUCAUGAUGGUAUUGGGUGCGUGUGUGUGGUUAUACGUUGAUGCAUUUUGAGCUUAUUAUCCUGCACAUUGGUGUUAGUGUUCUCGCCCAUGGCCAGGGCAUAGUUUUUCACAUGAUGUUCACCUCCUGGGCCGCACGCUCACUUUGGAUCCAAGUUUGGUGCACAGCCAUAUUGCACAGACCACAAUAGGUGGUUCCGACUCGUAGGUGACCUGCAAUUAUUUGCACAGCCUUCACGUGAUCGUAGCACUUAAGCGUACUUAUCUACACCCAGCCCUGUUGUACAGACCACAAUAGGUGGUUCCGACUUAUGUGCAUGCAUACUUGAUGAGCUAUAGAUUCAAUUGUACAGGUUACAUUAGGUGACUCCGGUUGGCAUACUAUUUUAGGUUGAUUCGUAUCACCUGGCUUACACAUUUUAUGGUUGAACAUCUUGACAUGGCAUACCUCUGUUUUCACUGCUCUAAGCAUUAUCCUUAUGUACCUAGUUGUUAUUAUUUUCUGGAAAAUUAUAUGGGUUUACAGUGAGGGGUUAGUAUGUUCAUAAAGACAACUGUGUUUUCAAAAACUUUGUUUUUGCCUACUCACAUUUUUUGUUUUGCACCCUUUCAGGUUCUAGGUAGUUGGUCAUCCUUGGUGGCUCACGAGGACUUUCACGGCGGUUCUGACAUCUCUGUAAAUAAGUAGGGAUUUUUUUCCCUGUUUGUAUAAUUAGUACUUAGUUGGUUCGAUUGCACUUUCGUUUACCCAUGCUCUGAUAUUUGUAUAACUUGCUUGGUCAUCUUUACUCACUUAUAUUAUCUUAGUUUAGAUAAGUUUGGUUUUAGGUUUUUAUUUAUUCGCAUUUCUUUUAUUAUUACUUCUGUUGCGCAUUUUGGCUACGUUACUCUUACGUGACGGGCAUCAUGUUUCGACUUCGGUUGGGGUGUGUCAUAAAAGCCUCUUCAAGUCUUCAUGAUUUGGCUUGCAGAGAUAUGUGGCUCCAUAUGUGGCCUGAAUUGCCCCACAGAAGCGCUCCAGGUUUUUAAUAGCAGUAGUCUCCGCAAGUCGGCAAUACUCAUCAGUUGAGUUUGCAGAGCACUCAUUAGCUAGCAUCCGAAAUGCAGAUGUGAGCUUCUGAUGAGGUGAUAGACUUUGUCGGCCUACGACAUUUAUCUUCCUUGCAAAGUAGUGGUCAUGAUUGACAACUGUGUUCAAGAUGCUUUCAAAAAUCUCUCUCCUCAUUCGAAACCGUCUCCGAAAAUCAUGAGCAGGAAAUCUCGGACGCUCAAUAAAAUAAUAUUUCAUCAUUCGGUCAUGACACUCUUCUCUAUCACGUUGCACAAAUGAACGCUUCGUGACAUAACCACAAUAGCUAGAUUCGACAUGGUGCUCAUAUUGCAUAAGCGAGUUUGGAAGUUUAGCUUAUGCGUUGAUCAUUUUUGAAUCCUCAAUGUCAAGGCUUGCUUGGUAUUAUGUCAUUUGCAUUGCCCUGCUACACCUUCUUCUAUCAUCCAUUGUUGAUAUAUUGAGGAUUUUUAUGAAACAAAAACACUUUGAAAGUUGAAAGAUUAGUGAAUAUAGGGAAUGAUUGAAGGUUGAAAGAUUGUGUGACCAACUGAUAUUGAACAUGUGUUUAUAUAGAGGAUGAUUGAUGAAAGUUGAAAGUUUGGUGAAAGUUGAACGGUUGGUGAAAGUUGAAGAUUUGUGAAAGUUAAAGACUUGCUUUGUGGAAAGAUUUAGUGAUUUUUUCAAUAUUUAUUGGAAUUUAAAUAUUUUUAUAUUAAAAUGUUCAUAAAAUUAAUUUACCAUAGGCUACAUAAUUUUUUUUAAAAGUUAAUUUAAGAAAAAAAAUUAGCCUAAGUUCAUUCUUUAAUAAUCCCGAACUAAAAUUUUAGGCUAGGGUUGGAGCAGAAAAACUGUUUCUGUGUUAAAAGCUAAAUUUUUUAGAUUAAAAAUUUUAAAUUUUAACCCAAAGGUUGGAGAUGAUUUAAGAAUGGAUAAACUUAACCAAGAAAAGAAGAAAAAAGAUGAAGGGCAAAUAAGUGAGAAGCAACAUGACACGACACACGGACGACCAUAGCAAUAAAGCGUGCGUCCUCACGUCCAUUGAAUAUAUAGAUGGGAGCUACAACAUCGUGUUUCACGUGCAUGUGUAUUAUACAUAAAGGCAUAUACAGUGUUAGCUUAUAUAUUAUAAAGUUUGUAGGCCACUUACCCAAUUUGGCAUAUGUUUUAUCUUUUUACGUGAAUAACCAAUGUGUUAUGAUGAUACAAGUCUCUUAACAUAUCCGGAGUUAGAAAUAUCAUAAGACAGUGUUGCGAUCAUAUUGAAAUUAAUUGACAGUUUGUAUUAUAUAUUUGAUUAUUCUUUAUUAACUUAAGGAGACAGCAUACUUAGACCUAAUUUAGUCACAUUCUCCAACCGAAAAUAAAGCGGUGUAGUAUUCAUACACUUUUUUUUAUUUCUUACACAGUCUUAAUUAAUUUCUAUUGUUUGAUCUUCUUCAAUUCAUUCGAUCUGACGACCGAAAAUUAAGAUGGUGUGUGGACGAGUAAAUUAUAACAAUGGUCCCUCAACUUUAAUCAAAUUGGAGCAAGGGUGCUCAACUAAAAAUCCAUUACCAUUGGUUCCUCAACUCAUCAAAAUGUGUAGCUAUGGUCAUUUUCGUCAACUUCGUUACAAUUUUGUCAAAAUAAGUUAUAUUGGAAUGACUAUUGCUACAAUUGGGGUCCCUCAACUCAUCAAAACGUGUAGCUAUGGUCAUUUUCAUCAAUUUCGUUAGAAUUUUAUCAAAAUGAGUUUUGUUGGAAUGACCAUUGCUACAAUUGAAUUAAAGUUGAGGGACUAUUAUUUCAAUUGAGUUAAAGUUGAAAGAUCAUUUCUUCAGUUGUAUUAAAGUUGAAGGAUCAAUGGUAAUGAAUUUUUAGUUGAGGGGACUAUAGCUGCACGUUUUAAUGAGUUGAGAGAACAAUAAUAAUGAAUUUUUAGUUGAAAAACUAUUACUUCAAUUGAGUUAAAAUUAAGAAACAAUUGCUACAAUUUUUUUAUAUGGAAAGUGGAUGAUGUGAAUAGCACAUCCAAAAAUAAAAGGGAACUUUAACGAAAAGCACCCGGUACUGUUCACUUUAACGAAAAACCACAUUUUUACACUAAAAAGUCAAUCCUGGUACUAUUCACUUUACCCUUUAUUUUGUCCUUAUCAUUAAAACUCAAAGUUUUCAAGCCCUUUUCAUUAGUUUUCCUAAAAUAAAAUGCACCACAAUUUGGUAGGAUCUUCCUGUUGAGAGUAAUAAAUUAAUAAUUGCCGAAAUAUUGGAUAAUUUGUCGGCCACAACGCUAUGAGGGAGUAUCUGGGGAUGAAUAUACUCUUGCCGACAGAUGCCCAAAUUCCAACUGCCAUUCAAAUGAGCCCUCCACCACCACCGGCCAUAAUAAAUUCUCUUUCUUUAGUGAAGAAGAAAAAGAGGUACUUGGCCCUCACCUCAACUUUUUGAGAAAGAACAAGUUUAUCGCUAUCAGAAUGUUUCGGUCAAUUAUAUAAGUUAUGUGUAAAUUUUUCUUUAGAUAACAUUACAUUAUUAUAUUUAAAAUGUUCCGUAACGAUAAAUUUGUUUCAUACAAAUUAUUCUCCAACUUCUUGGAUUUUUCUCCUUUUUCCCGAAAACCAGCUUAUAUUAGUGUUCAUCCUCUGUCAAUAUCACUCGCCCACAACUAUUCAACUAACUUUUAAUAAUUUGACAACGUGUCAUAUUUUUGUGCAAAGCGGGCCCAUUUUUGUGGGUGAUAUAAUAAUGGCGUAUGUGGUUUGUCAAGACAUAUACUCAUUUAUCCAUUAGCAGUUAGGUAAGUCACCUCACUCACCCACAGCCUAACACAUCAACAAAUAUUGCUUACAAAUUCUAGAAAAUUCGACCAAGAAAAAAAACCAAAUGCUCGCAAAUUAAAAUUGUGUAACAUGAUUAGUUUUUUAUCCAUUAGUAUUAAUUUUACGUUGGAAGAAAUUCCAAAUUUAUUCUUGUAAAGAGGGAUAUGAAAAUACUUUGUAUGUCUAUCACCAAAAUCUUCGAAUGUUUGAAUGGUUGAUUUUCAAGUCUCACACAAUUGGAUUUAGUUCAAGUGAGAAAGAAAUACACUCAAACUAUUAGAUAUGAGGAAUGAAAAUACACUACAAAAUCUUGUGAACAUUUCUAAUAUUCUCUUCUAUCUACUUUUUGUGAACCAAGUUUUUAUUUGUUUUUUUUUUUAACAAAAGAUAUUUUUUAUACUAGGGAAAUAAGGUGGGUUUAGCCUCAUAAUGGGCUAACAUAAUCUAGUUCAAACUUGCAUUUGGUGAGAAUCGAACCUAAAAUCUCUCACUUACAAGUGAAGAGGAAUACCAUUAGAAGUGUCAUGAAAUUAGCAGUCUUAUAUGUAAAAAAUUGAUUGACUAAAUGCUGUGUUAAAAAACAAGAUUAAUACUUGCAUCUCCCCACUUGGAAAAUGCAAAUAUUUCAUUUCUUGCAAAUAACGUAUAUCAUGCGUUCUGUUCAAUCGCAUAUUCAAAAAUGUUAAAAACAAGAUUAAUAUUUCUAUCUCCCCACUUGGAAAAUGCAGUAUUUCAUUUUUUACGAAUAACGUAUAUCCUGUGUUCCGUCCAAUCGCGUAUUAAAAAAAUGUGUGAAGUUUGGAUUAACUACACUCUUUGAGAAUUUCCUUAAAUAACCACUUUUUGAAAAUUUCUUAUAGGACUAAGUGAGUCUCCGCUGAGAAUUUCCUUAACUAACACAACACUACUUGAGUGAUAAUUUGUUAUAUCUUGAAUAGAGAAUAAAUCAGUUCCCUACUUUUGAAGGUACUAUUAACUUACACUAUAUUUGAAUGAGAACAAUAAACUUAGAAUUUAGAUGAAGGAAAUAAAACAGUUUCCUACUUUUGAAGGUACUACUCGAGUGAUAAUUUGUUAUAUCUUGAUAACGUGUCAUAUUUUUUUGCUAAGCGGACCCAUUUUUGUGGGGUGGUAUAAUAAUGGCGUUUGUUGUUUGUCAAGGGCAUAUACCCAUUUAUCCAUUAGCAGUUAGGUCACCUCACUCACCCACAACCUAGUACAUCAACAAAUAUUGCUUACAAAUUCUAGAAAAUUCAACCAAGAGAAAGAAAACCAAAUGCUCGCAAAUUAAUCUGUGUAACAUUAGUUUUUAUCCAUUAGUAUUUAUUUUACAUUGGAAGAAAUUCCAAAUUUAAUCUCGUAAAGAGGGAUAUGAAAAUACUUUGUAUAUCUAUUAUCAAAAUCUUUGAAUGUUUGAAUGAUUGAUCAUCAAGUCUCACACGAUUGAAUUUAGUUCAAGUGAGGAAGAAAUACACACAAACUAUUAUAUAUGAGGAUUGAAAAAUACACUACAAAAUCUUGUGAUAACAUUUCUAAUAUUCCUUUCUAUCUACAUUUUGUGAUAAGUUUUUUUUUUCCUUUUUUGAACAAACUAUAUUUAUCUACAUUAAGGGAGAGGAGGUGAUCUUAGCCUCACAAUGGGCUAGCAUAAUGUGGUUCAAAUUCGCCUUUGGCGAUAAUCGAACCUAAAACUUAUCAUUUACAAGUAAAUAGGAAUACCACUAGAUGGAUCAUGAAAUUAGCAGUCUUAUAGGUAAAAAAAAAUUGAUCGACUAAAUGAUGUGUUAAAAAACAAGAUUAAUACUUGCAUCUCUCCACUUGAAAAAUGUAGAUAUUUCUGUGAACACGGAAAAUUCCUGAAACGAAAGAGACAAGAACAACGUGCACAAAAUAAUAUUUUGGUGUUAAUGGAUUUGUUGGGUUACGAUCUCUUUUAACUUGAUCCUCUGAUUCGAUCUCCGUAAGGUGUUGAUUUAUGGAUGUUUCGUUGAUCCAAGGGCUGUUGAGGCUUGAUCUUAGAUGAACUGUUGGAAGUUUCUUCAAGGGGCCGUGGGCUUGAUCUUUGAAGGUGGAUUUGAGCGGAUCUUCAAGGAGCCGUUGGGGCUUGAUCUUGAGGAUGAGUGUUUCUUCAAGGGCCGUUAAGGCUUGAUCUUGAAUAACGGUGAUGAACGGAUCUUCAAGGGCUUUUGGGCUUGAUCUUGAAGAACGGUUGGAUGUGUGGAUUUGUUGAUGUUGUUGAUCCAAGGGCCGUCGGAGCUUGAUCUUGGAAGAACGAUGAACGAAGAACGAAGAACACUUUCUUCAAAGGCCGUCGGGGCUUGAUCUUGAAUUGGUGAUUGUUGAUCCAAGGGCCGUCGGGGCUUGAUCUUGGAAGAACGAUGAACGAAGAACGAAGAACACUUUCUUCAAGGGCUGUCGGGGCUUGAUCUUGAAUUGGUGAUUGUUAAUCCAAGGGCCGUCGGGGCUUGAUCUUGAUUCUUCGGGAUGAACGGAUGAUGAACAAUGAACACUUUCUUCAAGGGCCGUCGGGGCUUGAUCUUGAAUUGGUGGAAGUUCUUCAAGGGCCUUUGGGGCUUGAUCUUGAAGGUGGAUGAUUGUUGAUCCAAGGGCCGUCGGGGCUUGAUCUUGGGAUGAACAGUUGUGUGGAUUUGUUGAACACUUUCUUCAAGGGCCGUCGAUGCUUGAUCUUGAAUUGGUGGAAGUUCUUCAAGGGCCGUUGGGGCUUGAUCUUGAAGGAGGAUUUGACGAAGAACGAAGAGGGCUUUCUUGAUCCUUCGGGAUUUGCUUGAAUUUGGGAGGUUGGAUGCUUGAAAGCUUUAGAGUUUCAAAGCUUCAAGGAUUUUGGAUGUGUGGGGAGUAUUCUCUUCCAUUUUGGGAGUAGAGAAAUGUAUUUGUGAAUUGGUUUUUGAUACCUUGAUGUAGAAGCCUAUUUAUAGGCUUUGAGAAUGAAUCACCACCACAAAAUAUUUUUUUUCUUUUCCAAGCACCAUUGCCUAAUUUCCCACUUAAUACAAUUUUAAACUUGAAGUGGUAAUUUUAUGGCCUAAUUUUCCACUUAAUAUCAUUUUAAACUUGAUAUGUGCAUGCUUUGUCAUUGCCCAAAAUGAGAAGAAAACCUUGUUUUGAUCUUCAAUGAAUUGAAAUGUGCUUGCCUUGUCAUUGCCCAAAAUGAGAAGAAAAACUUGUGUAAUCCUUCAAGGGUAUUUCUUUUUAUUUUGUUGAGUCGCACACCAUGUGUACAAUUUGUAUGACACGUGGCAUAUGCCAUGUACGCCUUGACACGUCAAAAUUUUAAUGCGUUGGUGAACAUUUAUUUCACCGCAAUUUCGGUGUCUACAAAUGCCCCCACUUCAAGGUGCGUCGUAUACAUGUGCUUGUCACGUGUAGGAGAUGCGUUUUGAAGUCCCUUACUGUAGAUGUCAAUCCAAUGGCCAUCGAGGCUUGAUCUUGAAUUGGGCUGGAGAUUUCUUCAAGGGCCGUUGAGGCUUGUUCUUGGACUUUGUUUGAAAUUUCUUCAAGGGCCAUCGAGGCUUGAUCUUGAAGGUUGAAAUUGGACCACAAGGAGCUUCAUGUGGUAGAUGAUCUUUGGCUUUGGUAGUGGAUGAAUCGGCACGUAUUUGUUUUUGCGCUUUGUUGACUUUCCACAGCUUUGAUCUUGAACUGGGUUGGAGGAUUUUUUGGAUUCCUCCAAUUGUUGAUUUUCCACAGUUUAUUCUUGAACUGGAUUUGAUUCAAAUAUGGUGGACGCUUGAUCUUGAAUCGGACUUGUGAUUUCCUCAAGGGCCGUCGAGGCUUGAUCUUGAAUUUGGCCGGAAACUUCUUCAAGGGCCGUUGAGGCUUGAUUCUUGAAGGUUGACUCGAACACAUGGCAAGCAGGCACGAGGUGAAGGUGACGACUUGUUGCUUUGUUCAAUCUUUCUAAUUCACACCUGAGCAGUUUGGUCAACGGUAUGAUCUUCAAGAUUGAUGGGCUCUUCUUCCAGUUGGUGAUUUGAUCUUUAAGGAUUUGAUUCAAGGGUGGUGAAACGGCACAUGCAGCCCACAACGCCUAGCAAGUCGACCCAAGAAUUUGAGGGUUAAAACGAGUCCUCCACCCAGAGUGAUUGCAAACCUGAUGAUAUGAGAUACUUUUGAUUUUGAAGAAGUAGCGGAUGAAUCGGCACGUGCUUUGUUGUGCUUGUCUCCACAUGCUUCAAUGUAUCAUUUUCCCUUGUCUUAUCUAUUCUUCUAGCAGAAUGUAGCAUCUUCUUAAGUUCUUCAACUCAGACUCCUUCUGCUGAGCUGACUGUGCAGGCUGCAUUAUUCUCUGCUUGUUUCUUUAGGCAGAUGUGGCAGCUUCUUGAGUUCCUCAGCUCGGACUCCUUCUGCUGAGCUGAUUGUGAAGACUGCAUUCUUAUCUGCUUGUUUCUUCUGUACGUUGUCUCCACAUGCUGCAAGGUAUCAUUUUCAAUUGCCUUAUUUGUUUUCCAGGCAAAUGUGGCAUCCGAGUUUGAGUGGAGGUUCUGGCAUAUUGUUUUCUUUAUCCUUGUCUUUGUAGGUAAGAACAAGGACAAAGGAAAGGACAGGGAGAACGCAUGAUAUGAUAUACUCUUGCUUUCUACCCUGGUGAUAUGAGAUACUUUUGCUUUGGUGUCAUUUGUUUGCAGAGGUACCCCAAGGAAUAAGAAACACUGAGUGACUCGAGAGGCUUUGUUGGGAAGGCAUUCUAGGAGAUGAAGAAAGGUUCUUGGAGAUGAAGAAAGGUUCUCGGAGAUGAAGAAAGGUUAUGUAUGUCUGCCUUGCUAUGGAGGGUAAAGGUGGACAGUUAUAGGAAAUUCUUUAGUACCUGUAGAGGUACUAUUCUUUUACUCGUGUCGGCAACCAAUGUGUGAUUGAUCAGUAUGGCUUCACGUGUUUUCUUCUUUAUCAGAAAUCUUCGACAAAUUGUCCGUAAUUUUCGUCAAGCUGAGUGUGCAUGUGACAGGUGUUGACGAGGCUGAAAAAGACUGGUGCCUCUUCGAUAUCUGGGAUCGGCGCUUCGACAAAUUGCCCGUGAUUUCCGCAAAGCUGAGUUUGCGCGUGACGGGUGCUGACGAGGCUGAAAAAGACUGGCGCCUCUUCGAUAUCUGGGAUUGGCGCUUUAACAAAUUGCCCAUGAUUUCUGCAAAGCUGAGUUUGCACGUGACGGGUGCUAACGCGUCUGGAAAAGCAAGAUGCUUCUCCGAUUUCUGAGCUUGCCUCUUUGAUUUUUGAAUUGGCCUCUUCGAAUUCUGAGCUCGCCUCUUCGAUCUUUGAAAUCCCAUCGAGUGUUGAUCUUUAUAGAGGCACGCAGUUCGUUUCAAAGCACACUUGAAUUUUCGCUUGUAGAAACUCCCUUCUUGCACUUCUAAGAUCUUGAUUUGUCCGACCUCUUCUUUCUUCAACACCUUUGAAAAUGUCUGGACCCUCCGACCGUCAUUUUGAUUUGAACCUUGGUGAAGAGGUAGUCCCGUCUUCUCCAGAUAACAUAUGACGCCCAUCUUUCAUAUCCCCUACUGGUCCUCUUACCGUUGGGGAUUCGGUGGUGAAGAAUGAUAUGACCGCUGCGGUGGUGGCCCGAAACCUUGUCACUCCCAGAGAUAACAGACUACUUUCCAAACGGUCUGAUGAGUUGGCUGUUAAGGAUUCUCUGGCUCUCAGUGUGCAGUGUGCAGGUUCUGUGUCUAAUAUGGCCCAACGCCUAUUUGCUCGAACCCGUCAAGUUGAAUCAUUGGCGGCUGAAGUGAUGAGUCUCAAACAGGAGAUAUUAGAGGGCUCAAGCAGAGAGAUAAACAGUUGCAUAAGCUCGCACAUAGCUAUGCGACAAACAUGAAGAGGAAGAUUAACCAGAUGCAGGAAUCUGAUGGUCAGAUUUUACUUGAUCAUCAGAGGUUUGUGGGUUUGUUCCAGCAGCAUUUGCCUUCGUCUUCUGGGGCUGUACCGCGUAAUGAAGCUCCAAAUGAUCAACCCUUGGCUCCUCUUCUUCCUGGAGUUCCGCCGAGUGGUGUGGCUUCAAACAGUCAACCUCCGACGCCUCUCAUUUCUGGAGCUCUGCUGAGUGGUGAGGUGGCACCUAAUCGUCCUUGAAGAUCCCCUCUUGUAAAUUUGAUUUGAUUUUUUUUUAAGUAUGUAUAAUGCAAAUUUAUGUAAAAUUUCCAGAAAAAAUAAAUAAAAACGGACUUUAUUUCUCUCAAUGCAUUUGUUUUGUUUUGUUUUUGUUUUUUUUGUUUUUUUGUUUUUGUUUUUUUUGUAAAUACAUAAUAACAUAUGUAUUUAUUUAUUUAUUCUUUUGUAAUAAAAUUGACUUUCUUUAAUAAAACUUUUAUAUUUUUCUUAUUUAUUUUGAUAUGACUGAACUCGAAAUUGAAUGUUCGAGCCGCCUACGUACCCUUCCAAAGAAGAGAUCAAGCCAUAACGUAGUUCAAAUGAGUGAUGAAUUUAAUAGUGAUUUUGAUGAUGAUUUUGCCGUACACAGUUUAUGCUCUUGUGGGCCAGGAGCUUUGGUGUUGCCUUUUAUGCUCGUGCAGACCAGGAGCGUUGAUGUCGCCUUUUAUGCUCGUGUGGGUCAGGAGCGUUGAUGUUGCCUUUUAUGCUCGUGCAGACCAGGAGCUUUGUGCCAUGCAGUUUAGACUCGUGCGGGCAAGGAGCUUUGGUUCGUGCAGUUUAGGCUCAUGCGAACAAGGAGCAUUGGUUCGUGCAGUUUAGGCUCGUGCGAACAAGGAGCAUUGGUGUUGCCUUUUAUGCUCGUGCAGACCAGGAGCUUUGUGCUAUGCAGUUUAGACUCGUGCGGGUGAGGAGAAUUUGUGAAUUUUGUCAAGCACUUUUGGAGAGGCGUUCCUUACAAUCUUCAUAGCAAGGAGCCUUGACCGAGUGAUUGAAGAAGUCUUCGGGAAAGAAGUCGCACAUCGUGAUGGCAACAGACGAUCUUUGUGUCGUAAUUUCAUCAUCUUCAACACGUUCACGUUGCUUUGAAGGUUGACAAGAGCUGCUUUGCCCCCUUUCCGAUUGGCGGACUUGUGGAGGAGACGUAUGCUUCUUGUGCCAUUUCUUAGGAGUGACUUGAGUCCAUCCUUCAAGUUUGCUUGUUUUGGAGGAUGCCCCCGGCGGUUGAGGUGAAAAUUUUGUGUUGAAAGAGCCAGAAGUGAUGGUGGUAUAGUUUGACUUCACCACAUCGUCAAGAUCUAGCUCGAUGAUUCCUUUCUGAGCCCACUUUAUGAUGAGAUCUUUCAGCACAAAGCACUUUUCUGUCGGAUGACUGAUGAAGCGGUGGAAUUUACAGUAUCUUGGACUGUUGGUACGAUUCAUCUCUUCCGGCCAUCUGCACUCAGGCAAACUGAUCACCUUCUUGUCCAACAGGUCAUCCAACAUGGCAACCACAUCAGAGUCAGGGAAUGGAUAAGUCUUCUCUUUAAGCUCCUUCAAAGUGCGUCUACGCAUCUCUUGAUCACGAAAAGCUUCGGUUUGAAUCGUUUUGCCUCGUGUGGAGAUUUUGACGGGAGAUGUGUUGACUGUCAUUGCUUCCUUGGUGGAUUUCCACGUAGCCUUCUCCACCUUUGUCUCAAGAAUUUUGUCGUUCUUGUAGUCGGCGAUCGGUUCCUUCUUCCCAUGAUGGGUGAUGCUCAACUCCAUGUCAUGGGCGUGGGUGGCCAAUUCCUCGAAGGUCCGUGGUUUAAUGCCUUGAAGGAUGUAUUGCAAACCUCAUUGCAUGCCUUGGAUGCACAUCUCGAUUGAAGAGGUCUCCGAGAGCCUAUCUUUGCAGUCGAGGCUUAGAGUGCGCCAUCUGUUGAUGUAGUCAAUGACCGGCUCAUCUUUCCAUUGCUUCAUACUUGUGAGCUCCAACAUGCUUACAGUGCGGCGGGUGUUGUAGAAGCGGUUGAGGAAUUCCCGCUCCAAUUGCUCCCAGCUGUUGAUGGACUCAGGCUCUAGGUCCGUGUACCACUCAAAUGCGUUUCUUUUCAGCGAGCGCAUAAACUGCUUGGCGAAGUAGUCCCCCUCCGUCCCCGCGUUGUUGCAAGUUUUGACGAAAUGUGCAACGUGCUGCUUUGGGUUUCCUUUUCCAUCAAACUGCAUGAACUUUGGUGGUUGAUAUCCCAUCGGCAUCUUUAGGGCAUCAAUCUUCUUUGAAUAAGGCUUUGAGUACAACCCGGAGGUAUUUGAGCUCCCUUCGUACUAUGCCUUGACGGUGCUGGCAAUCAUCUCUUGCAACUGUUGGAUAGAAAGAGAUCCCAUGAGUGCCGCUUCUUGGUCUGGCUCCGGCUUCACAUCGAUUUUCUCCACCGUAGGCUCAUCUUCUGGGUUAGGGUUCUCGCUGUCCUGUGGCUCCAGUUGACUGAUGAGUGCAGCGAUUUGCAAGUCUUUUUCUUCCACAGUUCGGGUUAGCCUUGCGAUUGCUUCAUUCAUUUGAGCCAGUUGUUCUUCGAUGGAGGUAACGCCGAUGGUCAUGACUUGUGCAACCAAUAGACGUGACUUUCCUUUAGACAUCCAAGAUGCUGAAGAAGAACGUCAUUGGUUGUUUUGGGAUGUCAUCUUGUGUGCCUCAGCAACAUGCUUUGGUGCCCCCAGCGAGGUCAGGUUGAUGACAGACUCACACCUUUGAUGCUCCCUUUGCUCUUUUAGCGGCACCAACUUUGAAGUGGCAUGUUAAGGAGCGGUUGUGGUGCUAAUGGAUUGUCCAUUUGCGGCAGAAGUGCUUAGGAUCCUUCCCUCAGUGAUUGCGAGAACGGCUUGUCCCUUGCUUGAUGCCAUUGAUUUUGAGGUGUGUUUGGAUUCCUUAAACGGAGAAAGAUAUGAGAGGUAGAGAUUGUCCCACCGGGCGUGCCAAUUUGUGAACACGAAAAUUUCCUGAAACGAAAGAGACAAGAACAACGUGCACAAAAUAAUAUUUUGGUGUUAAUGGAUUUGUUGGGUUACGAUCUCUUUUAACUUGAUCCUCUGAUUCGAUCUCCGUAAGGUGUUGAUUUAUGGAUGUUUCGUUGAUCUAAGGGCCGUCGAGGCUUGAUCUUGGAUGAACUGUUGGAAGUUUCUUCAAGGGGCCGUGGGCUUGAUCUUUGAAGGUGGAUUUGAGCGGAUCUUCAAGGAGCCGUUGGGGCUUGAUCUUGAGGAUGAGUGUUUCUUCAAGGGCCGUUAAGGCUUGAUCUUGAAUAACGGUGAUGAACGGAUCUUCAAGGGCUUUUGGGCUUGAUCUUGAAGAACGGUUGGAUGUGUGGAUUUGUUGAUGUUGUUGAUCCAAGGGCCGUCGGGGCUUGAUCUUGGAAGAACGAUGAACGAAGAACGAAGAACACUUUCUUCAAAGGCCGUCGGGGCUUGAUCUUGAAUUGGUGAUUGUUGAUCCAAGGGCCGUCGGGGCUUGAUCUUGGAAGAACGGUGAACGAAGAAUGAAGAACGAAGAACACUUUCUUCAAGGGCCGUCGGGGCUUGAUCUUGAAUUGGUGAUUGUUAAUCAAAGGGCCGUCGGGGCUUGAUCUUGGAAGAACGAUGAACGAAGAACGAAGAAGGCUUUCUUGAUUCUUCGGGAUGAACGGAUGAUGAACAAUGAACACUUUCUUCAAGGGCCAUCGGGGCUUGAUCUUGAAUUGGUGGAAGUUCUUCAGGGCCUUUGGGGCUUGAUCUUGAAGGUGGAUGAUUGUUGAUCCAAGGGCCGUCGGGGCUUGAUCUUGGGAUGAACAGUUGUGUGGAUUUGUUGAACACUUUCUUCAAGGGCCGUCGAUGCUUGAUCUUGAAUUGGUGGAAGUUCGUCAAGGGCCGUUGGGGCUUGAUCUUGAAGAAGGAUUUGACGAAGAACGAAGAGAGCUUUCUUGAUCCUUCGGAAUUUGCUUGAAUUUGGGAGGUUGGAUGCUUGAAAGCUUUAGAGUUUCAAAGCUUCAAGGAUUUUGGAUGUGUGGGGAGUAUUCUCUUACAUUUUGGGAGUAGAGAAAUGUAUUUGUGAAUUGGUUUUUGAUACCUUGAUGUAGAAGCCUAUUUAUAGGCUUUGAGAAUGAAUCACCACCACAAAAUAUUUUUUUCUUUUCCAAGCACCAUUGCCUAAUUUCCCACUUAAUACAAUUUUAAACUUGAAGUGGUAAUUUUAUGGCCUAAUUUUCCACUUAAUAUCAUUUUAAACUUGAUAUGUGCAUGCUUUGUCAUUGCCCAAAAUGAGAAGAAAACCUUGUUUUGAUCUUCAAUGGAUUGAAAUGUGCUUUGCCUUGUCAUUGCCCAAAAUGAGAAGAAAAACUUGUGUAAUCCUCCAAGGGUAUUUCUUUUUAUUUUGUUGAGUCACACACCAUGUGUACAAUUUGUAUGACACGUGGCAUAUGCCAUAUAUGCCUUGACACGUCAAAAUUUUAAUGCGUUGGUGAACAUUUAUUUCACCGCAAUUUCGAUGUCUACAAUUUCAUUUCUUGUGAAUAAUGUUUAUCCUGUGUUCUGUCCAAUCGCGUAUUAAAAAAUGUGUGAAGUUUGGAUUAACCACACUCUUUUAGAAUUUCCUUUAUUUACCACUUUUUGAGAAUUUCCAAUAAGACUGGGUGAGUCUCCGCUGAGAAUUUCCUCAACUAACACCACACUACUUGAGGGAUAAUUUGUUAUAUCUUUGAAUAAAGAAUAAAACAGUUUCCUACUUUUGAAGGUACUAUUAACUUACACUAUAUUUGGAUGAAGGUCAAACUUUAUAAAUUGACAUACACCAAAUUCUUUGUUUGGAUUCAUAAACAUAUAAAUUUAGAAUUUCCGCGUGGAAAAAAAAAAUACUUAGAAUUUGAGACCUCCAAUUCUCAAAUUGAAAGUUUAAAAAUAAUAAAUUCCGUAUUCAAUUCAAUUGUUCUUUUAGGUUAACCAAAUAAGAAAAUUCACAAAUUCUAAAAUAUAAAAUCUCAUCAUUUCAAUUUCCGUCAUUUUAAAAUUCCUUAGUAAUAUUAAAUUUCUUCAUCCAAACAUAGUGUUAAGAAAUUUUUUAAAGAUACACUAUUUACACUCAUUUUUAUUUCUUACACAUUUAUUAACUUUGUCCAUUGAUUUCUUCAAUUCAUUUUGCCAGUUAUACAAAAAUUGAGAACAGUAUUUAUGAAUUAAAAAUACAUUUGUAGAUGUCACUACCAAAUUUUUAUUCCUAAUUCAAGAAAAUCUUAUCCAUAUAUGAUUGCCCUUGCCCACUUUAAAUGGGUGCCAUCACUUUACGAUAGAGCAAUCCUAACCGUCCACCUAGGUAAGCAUAACUGGCGAUGCAUGUCGCAAGGGGACCGCAUUGCACAAUAUAAUUAUACUAGUUGAUAAGACAAGUGAUGUCAAUCAAUAAAUUAUUUCAUUAAAACUUAGUUGUAUGUAUCAUAUGUUGUAAUGUAGGGUGUAUGAUAUGCUGACGCUGUAAAAAAAUGUAACCUUUUUAAUAUUACUCAUAAUAGUAAGACUUACCAGUAUUAGGAUGUUAUCAGUGGAAUGAGAAUCCUCUCCAGAUCUUUUUUGUGAGCUAUUAUUUGUAUUUAAUUUUAAAUAUAAAAAAUUAAAAUAAUUUAUGACGGCAGUGAUUCACAUGAUCUUCACAAAGAGAAUCCAAAUAAUCUUAAUUUAUAUCAGUGUGUCUAGAUAACAUGAUCGAGCCCCUUUACUUUUACCCUAUUUAGUAUUUUACAUUUGAACCUGUAAAUAUUCGAUUUUUCUUUGGUGCAACCGAGCACCAAAUAUAGAUUUUUUUUCACUUUUAUAUAAUGAUAAAUAAAGGGCAAUUGGCAGAUUUGAAUUCCAUUCGGAUUGGUCAAAAAUCAUUUUAAAUUGUUUUAUUUAAAAUUAAACACAUAUAGUACUUAAUAAAAAUUAGUCGUACAAUAUACGAUAAACAGAUAUAAUGUAAGGACCUUUAUGAUCUUCACAAAAAAGAUCCAAAGGUUGUGUAGCUGUUUCAAAAGGAUAAUACUCACUUUUGAUUAGUUCAAUGAAAUUUUAAACAUGUUUUAUUGUUUUAAAAAAUAAUAAACAUAUUUAUUAAUGUUUGUUUUACUUUAAAAAAUAAGCAGCACUUGACAACAUUUGAUUGUGCUAAAUAAAAAAUGAGUGACCACUUAGUACUACAGUCUUAUGAUAUUUUUCUUCAUUUGAAAGUGAGAGGUUUUAAGUUCGAAUCUCGUGGAUGACGAAUUUGAUAUCAAAUUAGAUUGCUCACUAUGUGGCUUAGCCGAACUCUCAUUUCCUUUAAUGUAAAAAUAUUGAUGUAUUCAAAAAAAUAAAAAGUGACUAUAGAGGACACUCAAUCUCAGCUGUAUGAUUAAAUCAGACGGUAAGAAAAAUUCUGCAAGCAUACUCGGUUACAUUAAUUGAAGAAAAAAUGGGUAAAUAUUGGGCACCAACGUUAUAAAUACCCUCCACCAUGCACCCAACUCCCUCACACCAUCACAACCCACGUUACAAAUCCUCCUCCUCAUCAUAACCAUUCUGUUUUCCGCAUAAUAUCCAAAAACCUAUCAUGUCUGAAGAGAAACACCACCGCGGUCUCUUCCACCACCACAAGGAUGAAGACAAACCCUCAGACUACCCUCAGUCUGGCUACUCUGAUGAAGGACGUCCCGGCGGCCUCGGUGGUGGUUACGGCGACACCAAUGAUUAUUCUGGUGAAGGACGUACCGGCGGCCUAGGUGGUGGCUAUGGCGACACCAAUGCUUAUUCUGGUGAAGGACGUCCCGGCGGCUAUGGCGGCUAUAACGAGACCACUGCUUACUCUGAGGAAAGAGUUGAAAGACCCGGCGGUGGCCGGUACAGUGAGACUACUGCGGCAUAUGGCAGCACCACCACUCAUGAAUCUGAACUUGAUUACAAGAAGGAGGAGAAGCACCACAAGCAUCUCGAGCACCUCGGCGAGGCCGGUGUAGCUGCUGCCGGCGCUUUUGCCUUGGUACGUAUUGUAUUUUAACCCACCUCUAUAUAUAUAUAUAUUAGAAUAAUGCUAAUAAGACCAAAUUUUGAAAACUAAAUGAUGUGGUUGUUGAUAAUGAACUUAUUACUCAAGUCUUGAUUAACAUGCUUAUUUUCUAAUAGUGACACAUUAUUUGGUUUAGAAAUUUGGUCUUCCUAACUUUAUCAUUCUCAAAAUUUUCAUGAUUUUGAUAGGGUAAUACGGGAGAUCAAAAUUUCUAAACCAAAUUUGCAAACCAAUAGAUGAUUGGAUUAUUAAUUAAGUAUCGAUUGUUUGUUUCUUAUUAACGACAUAUCAUUUGAUUUACAAUUUAGUUAAAAAAAAUUUAUUCUUUCUGUCAUAUCCUUUUGAAUAUUUGAUCACUUUACUCUUUAUCACUUUACCCUUGAUCACUUUACCCAUACUCUUGCAACCGAAUCACCGUCCUCCUCCUUAACCUUCAUUUUUUUGUCUUACAGUACUCCAAUCUAUCAACUCUGUCCAUUGCAACUUUAAUUGUGAAGAAAAUUAAAGUCCUAUCGUAAAAUUAAUUAGUGAUAUGGAGAGUUGCGCAAUUAUUGAUGGACUAGGUAGGUAAGAUACGGAAUCAAAGUCUACCAUUAACAAUGGACGGAAUUGAUGAACCAUAUAGGUAUGUAAGAUACGGAAUCAAAGUCCUCAUGUAAAUGGUACAGUUGCAAUCAGGAGAAGAAAUGAGUUAACUGAUACCUUCGUAAUAGUUCAUGUAGAGUUUUGAUAUUAUUAAGCCUUAACCACCUGAUCUUAUAUAUACGAGGACAAAUCUAAUCAAAUAUGUGUUAAUUUCAAGGUUUGUUUUACAUUGAUGUGAGAUCGAUGCUAGCAAGAUAUAUAACUUAUGUCAGUUUCUAUAUGAUGUGUGUAGCAUGAGAAGCACAAUGAAAAGAAAGACCCAGAGCAUGCCCACAGGCACAAGAUAGAAGAGGAGAUUGCUGCAGCAGCUGCAGUUGGUUCGGGUGGAUUUGCCUUCCAUGAGCAUCAUGAGAAGAAAGAGACAAAGGAAGAAGAGGAAGAGGCUUAUGGAAAGAAGAAGCACCACCACUUCUAGAUCUAUGUGGAUUGUGGAACAUCAUCUUUUGACUACAUAUGCAAUGUUGUGUUUUUACUAGUUAUCAUGUGGUGUGAUCAGUGAGAGUGUGAUGCUUAAUCUCAACAAUAUCG